GUGCCAGCCGCCGCGGUAACACCGGCAGCUCGAGUGAUGGCCGAUUUUAUUGGGCCUAAAGCGUCCGUAGCCUGCCGUACGGGUCCGUCGGGAAAUCCGCCCGCUUAACGGGCGGACGUCCGGCGGAAACCAUACGGCUUGGGACCAGAGGACCCGAGGGGUACGUCGGGGGUAGGAGUGAAAUCCCGUAAUCCCGGACGGACUACCGAUGGCGAAAGCACUCUGAGAAGACGGCUUCGACAGUGAGGGACGAAAGCUCGGGUCUCAAACCGGAUUAGAUACCCCUGUAGUCC
rnacentral:rRNA from 1 species